rnacentral:rRNA from 1 species
AUUGAACGCUGGCGGCAUGCCUUACGCAUGCAAGUCGAACGGUAACGGGCCUUCGGGUGCCGACGAGUGGCGAACGGGUGAGUAAUACAUCGGAACGUGCCCGAUCGUGGGGGAUAACGAGGCGAAAGCUUUGCUAAUACCGCAUACGAUCUACGGAUGAAAGCAGGGGACCGCAAGGCCUUGCGCGGACGGAGCGGCCGAUGGCAGAUUAGGUAGUUGGUGGGAUAAAAGCUUACCAAGCCGACGAUCUGUAGCUGGUCUGAGAGGAUGAUCAGCCACACUGGGACUGAGACACGGCCCAGGCUCCUACGGGAGGCAGCAGUGGGGAAUUUUGGACAAUGGGCGCAAGCCUGAUCCAGCCAUGCCGCGUGCAGGAUGAAGGCCUUCGGGUUGUAAACUGCUUUUGUACGGAACGAAAAGCCUUCUUUUAAUACAGGAGGGUCAUGACGGUACCGUAAGAAUAAGCACCGGCUAACUACGUG